AAAUUCCUUUACAUUGCCAGUGCAUACACUAAUUAGUAAUUACUCUAAAUGUUUAAUGUACUAAAAUAAUGUUUUGGUUUCCAUAUGAUAUGAAUAUGUUACUUUUAGGUACUGAAAGAUUUGAAGUCAGUGGUCUUUGAAAGAUGGAAAUCGCUGUUUUAAUGUCCGAAAUUUGGGAAUGUUGGUCAACUUAGUCAUUUUUAAGGUCUAAAUUGAUGUUGAAAUAAGGAACUAUAUUGAUGGACAUUUUCAUUUUUAAGGGAUGAAAAAGAUCUUCUUCACAUAUUGUCUUUUCUGCCUAAGGAUAUCAACUUUGUGAAUCAUUCAAGUUAUAUUGGAUGGAAAGAAGCAAAGAAGUUGAAACUGAUUAUUGUUGAUCCGGGUCUGUAUCUCUCUGAAGGGACUGAAAUGUUUUAUGCGACUCAGCAAAGAGAACUCCCUAGUGCUUAUCGCGUGUUUACAGGUAUGGAUGGAUUAUAGUGUAAUGUAUUUGAUUAUCUGCAUAUUUUUGGCUUUUCAUUUUAUUUAGUUAGAGAGUGCCAACAACAGCAGGAGUGGAAAAUAGGUAUAGUGGGGAUGGAUGAAUGACAUUCAUUGAGAAAGAAAGAGAUAAGAUCAAGAUCAAAUGCUUUUACAUUUUAGGAUAAAUUUGGAAUAGCGUAUAUCGAGGAAAAUGAGAGAAGAGGAAUGCUUGCGGCACUCUCUAAUAGUCUAUCUAUUAUUGACUGAAACUUAUUGAAAAUUACAAAUUGUGUGGGUCUUGCAUCUUAUUUGAUGAAUUUCUCUUGAUUUAGUGGUAGGACCUACAGAAAUUAUGAUUUUCAAGUUUCAACCAAUAAUAGAGAGAGCAUGUCACUAGCAUUUCUCAUGAGAAGAUUGUCUAAGUUGAACAUGUGAGUAAAAGACCAGCAAAGGCUCUAAUUAUAAAAUUGAUCAAAUGGAAGAUAACCUGAUUAAAUUAAGCAGAGGAAUAUGAUAAAUCAAUGUAAAUAAUAAUCUUCUAAAUGGAUUUAUUAAAAAUAUUGCUCUUAAUAAAGCUUGUGGCAUCCAUAUCAAGCUGAAUGUGAUAUGUGGGCUAGAUCUAGUUACAGCUCUUUUUAAGAGUUUGAAAGUAAUUGAGUUGAGAUAGAUAGAAGUUUGGUUGUUACUAAUUCUUUAAGAAAGACUAUGUUGAGGCUGCAAUCUUUGUGAACAGCAGCAAGAGUAUCUUUCUGAAGAUAGAAGGAUUUUUCAUUUUAAUUGCUUUUUAGCAUGUGUUGAGGUUGCAAUCUUCAUGAGUUGCAACAUCAUUUUUUUCUGAACACAAGCACACAACCACAACUUAUGAUAAAAUGUGGAUUGCAAUUUCAGUUAGGAGUAAAAUGGACCAUAGUAGAAGUUUGUCAGGCAGAGUGAAUUGUGAAAAGGUGGAAUUUUAUUUAAUGAUACGAUUGGGAAGUAUGUGUUGUAAUUAGAGGAAAAUCUUCCUAAUUAGAGAAAAUAUCGGUAGAAUCUUCUAGUUUAUUUUUCAGAAUAUUUUUUUCUUAUUUCCUUAUUUUGGAAGAUUAGAUUAUUACAAAUAGGUAUAAGGAAAAUGUAAUAUGCAUGAAUGAUAAUAAAAAAAUCAUUCUCCUUUUCAAGUUAGUAUCAGAGCUCCCGAUCUUGGGAGCUCCGUUUCUGCUGCAACAGUAGUCACCGCUUUCGUUGUCUGGCCACUCUGGCUGCCAACAUAGCCGUUGGGUUGUUGAUAGGGCAGAAAGGUGUGCCCAACUCCGGCUAACACAACGCCAGAAUUCGCUUCGAGAAAUACGUUGCCAUGCGCCGCCACUGUUGCCGGCGCGUGUAGCUCAUGCGCCUAGCUUUGGCGAGACCCACUCGCCGUCGCCAUCACAGAAAGAGUCGCCGGAGCCUCCUGAGUUCGUUUCACGGGUCAGUGACGUCCCAUUUGGCUCAGAUUUGAGUAGAUUUGAGUUUUGAGUUCUGCUCCUUUUUCCGGUGUAGCCCACACGUCGUCGUCGUCUCAGAUAGGGUCACCAGAUUGCGUUCCAAAGGAUGUUUGAGGUAAAAAUUAUUCCUUUGGGUCCUAAUGAUCUUCCAAAUGUGGUGGGUGCCUAUCGGUUGGAUGGUCGGAAUUUCUUACAAUGGAGUUAGUAUAUCCGAAGGAUUCUUAAGGGACGUUCAAGACUGGAUCACAUAGAUGGUGGAGGGCUAGGACCAAACAACUCUAAUUUUCCAAUUUGGGACAAUGAAGAUUCACUAAUUAUGACUUGGAUUUGGCAUUCCAUGAUUCCUGAGAUAAGUCGAAAUUAUAUGUUUCAUUCUUCUGCCAGAGAUAUGGGAUGAUUUACAGAGUACAUUUUCAUUAAA